CAAUAGCGUAUAUUAAAGCUGUUGCGGUUAAAAAGCUCGUAGUUGGAUUUCUGUCAAGGACAACUGGUCCGCCCUCCGGGUGAGCACAUAGUUUGGUCUUGGCAUCUUGCUGGAAGCUGUUGCUGCACUUGGCUGUGUGGCGCAGCGUCCAGCACUUUCACUUUGAGGAAAUUGGAGUGUUUCAAGCAGGCACAUGCCUUUGGACACAGUAGCGUGGAAUAAUUAGAUUGGGCUUUUGCUCCAAUUUGUCGGUUUCUGGAGCUGAGGUGAGAAUUAAUGGGGAUUGUUGGGGGCAUCCGAAUUUAGCCGUCAGAGGUGAAAUUCUUGGAUCUGCUAAAGACGGACAACUGCGAAAGCGUUUGCCCAGGAUGUUUUCAUUGA
rnacentral:rRNA from 1 species